CAUCUGUCACUCCAUUGAUCAUCAGGGUUGAUUCGGCUGAUCUGGCUGGCUAGGAUAGCUG
ensembl:misc_RNA 7SK 7SK RNA